AAGUCGUAACAAGGUUUCCGUAGGUGAACCUGCGGAAGGAUCAUUAAAGUUUGCUUAAUUGCAUUACACAUGUUUUUUUAGAGAACUUGCUUGCAAGAACACUAAUAAUUUACUUAGUCAACAAAUAAAAAUAUCAAAACUUUCAACAACGGAUCUCUUGGUUCUC
rnacentral:misc_RNA from 3 species